AGAGUUUGAUCAUGGCUCAGGAUGAACGCUAGCUACAGGCUUAACACAUGCAAGUCGAGGGGCAGCAUUGGAGUAGCAAUACUCAGAUGGCGACCGGCGCACGGGUGAGUAACACGUAUCCAACCUGCCGCUUACUCGGGGAUAGCCUUUCGAAAGAAAGAUUAAUACCCGAUGGUAUAAAGAGUUCGCAUGUUCUCUUUAUUAAAGAAUUUCGGUAAGCGAUGGGGAUGCGUUCCAUUAGAUUGUUGGCGGGGUAACGGCCCACCAAGUCUACGAUGGAUAGGGGUUCUGAGAGGAAGGUCCCCCACAUUGGAACUGAGACACGGUCCAAACUCCUACGGGAGGCAGCAGUGAGGAAUAUUGGUCAAUGGACGAGAGUCUGAACCAGCCAAAGUAGCGUGAAGGAUGACUGCCCUAUGGGUUGUAAACUUCUUUUAUAAGGGAAUAAAGUGAGGGACGUGUCCCUUUUUGUAUGUACCUUAUGAAUAAGGAUCGGCUAACUCCGUGCCAGCCGCCGC
rnacentral:rRNA from 1 species